rnacentral:lncRNA from 1 species
AUCGGAUCUCUUAACAUUUAUUGAGCCUUCACUUUAUCUAUGGAUUAGAUGAUCUCUCGAAGGUAACAUGGAGCUGUGCUGGCAUUCAUUCAUCGAUCAAAGCAACUGUCAGGCCCAGAAAUCGCUACAUUUACAUCUAAAUUGUUCCCAUUCAUUAUUUAGACAUAUUAUUUGCAUUGCACGUGACAGAAAUCCCAAAGGCUCUCAAUGGAUUGCCAUUUGCUAAACGUUUCUUGGAACUCUAAGGAUAUGUUAUGGAAAAACGCCGAAUAACUAUGUCGAUUAUCACUUUGAUGUAGCUGUGACUCUGUACUUAACAUGAAAUAUUGAUCAAUUACAAUACAUUCAACAUAUUCGCAGUUGGGGAUCGAUAAUUUAGCGGUGGAGCGGUUUCUGUUGAGUACACAAGAAGGCGGGGUGGAGCCGUUAAGAGUUCGCGGCUGUAGGGACGAAAAUUCGUUGAAUGCAAAGUAUUUUUAUGGCUGCCAUUGAAACGAAAUGGCUUCUUAUUUAUCGGCUAAAUGCCCUGAAUUUCAAUUAGGCGAACAUGAAUGAUUCCCCGAAAGACAAUAGCUCGAUGGAAGACCCCCAAGGGAGGAGUGCCGAAGGUUCCUCUGGGGCGCCCGUCGGCCUGCCCGGACUGGGACAAAUUCAAAAACUCAUUCGCUCGAAUUUGGUUAAUUUGCCCAUCUCCAAAGCGUGUUCGUGCACUCGCAGCGCAUCCUGCGGAAACGCUAGCACACACACUGGCACACACACUUGAGCAUUCCCGACUUGAGACAAGGCCGAGGGCAGUGGCCGUGCCAGCCGCUUCGUGGCCAUUCCUUCAUGCAUGAGCACGCCACUGGUUUCGCUCCUCAUUCGCUUUCGCUUACAUUUCCGUUUCCUUCUUAUGCGACGAGUCGCUGUCGCCCUAAGGGGGAGGUCCUCAGAGUCGGAAAGAGAAACGUUUUCGAUUCGAUUCGUUUCGAUUUUUGCCAAUUGCCUGGGACCCUGCCCUGUCGGCGUAUGACGAAUAUGUCGGAUACGUGCCACAGCCACAGCCGCUGCUCAUAUGCACCAUUGAAGCAGCGUCCCCCAGUCCAUCCCGCCAGAUGAAGAAUUUUGUUGUUGUUGUUGAACCGACGGCGGAGGAGGCUCCCGGUGCGAUAUUUGUUUUUCGCUUUUGCAUAUUUUGCGGGUAAUUUGGGUAAAAGGAUUUCUUCGCUCUGCUGUGGCGCCUCGCUUUGUGGCUUUCUCUGCCAUCCUCCGCCGCCUGCCCCACGAAUACACUGUGCCUGCAAAUCGCUCACGUAAAAUAUUCAUGCGUUUUUCCUUGGCGGUUUCUGGCUCCCAAGUGCCUUGCAAUUCAAUUACAUUUCGAUUGAUUUUCGUGUUUUGGCCCAGACUGGGAAAUAUCCAAGGUUCUGGAUCUUGGCUACGCUAUGCAAAGAGCAUACGAUAUGCUCGUUUAAGUGUGUUUGAUGGCAGCAUUUAUGUACUUCCGUGACAUGUACCAAAACCCUUCCAUGAGCGGACGAGUGAUCAUUCGCUUUGAAGGGUGUGCAUUUCCAUUAAAUAUAAAUACAAAUGUAUAUCUGAAGAUCCCCUUCUUUUACUUGGAAAACUGCCUGAUAAAACUUAUUUCUAUUUUGUUUAUUUGCUUGUGUAAAAG